rnacentral:rRNA from 1 species
GAUUGAACGCUGGCGGCGUGCUUAACACAUGCAAGUCGAGCGGUAGCAGGCGUAGCAAUACGUGCUGACGAGCGGCGAACGGGUGAGUAAUGCUUCGGAAUCUUCCUCGUAGUGGGGAAUAACCUGGGGAAACUCAGGCUAAUACCGCAUACGAACUACGGUUGAAAGCAGGGGAUCGCAAGACCUUGCGCUAUGAGAUGAGCCGAAGUCGGAUUAGCUAGUUGGUGGGGUAACGGCCUACCAAGGCGACGAUCCGUAGCUGGUCUGAGAGGACGACCAGCCACACUGGGACUGAGACACGGCCCAGACUCCUACGGGAGGCAGCAGUGGGGAAUAUUGGACAAUGGGGGCAACCCUGAUCCAGCGACGCCGCGUGUGUGAAGAAGGCCUGCGGGUUGUAAAGCACUUUUAGUGGGGAUGAAAAGCCGAGGGCUAAUACCUUUCGGUCUUGACCUAACCCAAAGAAAAAGCACCGGCUAACUCUGUGCCAGCAGCCGCGGUAAUACAGAGGGUGCAAGCGUUAAUCGGAAUUACUGGGCGUAAAGCGUGCGUAGUCGGUUAUCUAAGUCGGGUGUGAAAUCCCCGGGCUCAACCUGGGAAUUGCAUUCGAUACUGGAUAGCUAGAGUUCGGCAGAGGGAAGUGGAAUUUCCGGUGUAGCGGUGAAAUGCGUAGAUAUCGGAAGGAACAUCAGUGGCGAAAGCGACUUCCUGGACCAGAACUGACGAUCAGGCACGAAAGCGUGGGGAGCAAACAGGAUUAGAUACCCUGGUAGUCCACGCCAUAAACGAUGACAACUAGACGUUGGGAGGGUUUGCCUUUCAGUGUCGCAGCUAACG